UCUCCAGCUGUUUUUGGACUACAAUUCCCAUCACCCCGUGCUAGCUAGGGAUGAUGGGAGUUGUAGUCCAAAAACAGCUGGAGA